UGGGAAACGGCCCAGAUCGUAGGGUGGUUGACUUUUUGGGUGCUAAAAUCCAAAGUCGAGAGGRAAACAGCCCAGAUCGUACGCUAAGGUCCCUAAGCAAUCACUUAGUGGAAAAGGAAGUGAUCGAGCGAUGACAACCAGGAGGUGGGCUUGGAAGUAGUCAUCCUUUGAAGAAAGCGUAAUARCUCACUGGUCUAGCUCCAUGGCACCGAUAUAUCCACUUAUUAUUAAGAAUAGAAAUUGGUUGAAAAAGGCUCUACCUGG
rnacentral:ncRNA from 1 species